rnacentral:misc_RNA from 1 species
AACGCACAUUGCGCCCGCCAGUAUUCUGGCGGGCAUGCCUGUCCGAGCGUCAUUUCAACCCUCGGGCCCCCCCCUUUCCCCUCGCGGGGGAGGGGGCGGGCCCGGCGUUGGGGCCCAGGCGUCCUCCAAGGGCGCCUGUCCCCGAAACCCAGUGGCGGCCUCGCCGCUGCCUCCUCCGCGUAGUAGCACAAACCUCGCGGGCGGAAGGCGGCGCGGCCACGCCGUAAAACCCCAAACUUUUACCAAGGUUGACCUCGGAUCAGGUAGGAAUACCCGCUGAACUUAA